CAUCCAGAGAGAACAGUGGCACAGCAGGUCAGUACCGUUACACAUACAGAGAGAACGGUGGCACAGCAGGUCAGUACCGUUACACAUACAGAGAGAACAGUGGCACAGCAGGUCAGUACCGUUACACAUACAGAGAGAACAGUGGCACAGCAGGUCAGUACCGUUACACAUACAGAGAGAAUGGUGGCACAGCAGGUCAGUACCGUUACACAUACAGAGAGACCGGUGGCACAGCAGGUCAGUACCGUUACACAUACAGAGAGAAUGGUGGCACAGCAGGUCAGUACCGUUACACAUCCAGAGAGAACAGUGGCACAGCAGGUCAGUACCGUUACACAUACAGAGAACGGUGGCACAGCAGGUCAGUACCGUUACACAUCCAGAGAGAACAGUGGCACAGCAGGUCAGUACCGUUACACAUACAGAGAGAACAGUGGCACAGCAGGUCAGUACUGUUACACAUACAGAGAACAGUGGCACAGCAGGUCAGUACCGUUACACAUACAGAGAGAACAGUGGCACAGCAGGUCAGUACCGUUACACAUACAGAGAGAACGGUGGCACAGCAGGUCAGUACCGUUACACAUACAGAGAGAACAGUGGCACAGCAGGUCAGUACCGUUACACAUACAGAGAGAACAGUGGCACAGCAGGUCAGUACCGUUACACAUACAGAGAGAAUGGUGGCACAGCAGGUCAGUACCGUUACACAUACAGAGAGACCGGUGGCACAGCAGGUCAGUACCGUUACACAUACAGAGAGAAUGGUGGCACAGCAGGUCAG